rnacentral:rRNA from 1 species
UCGAGAGGCUUCGGCAAUGGGGGAAACCCUGACCGAGCGACGCCGCGUGGGGGAUGAAGGCCCUUGGGUUGUAAACCCCUUUUAUUCGGGAAGAAAUGCGAUCAGGUGAACAAUCUGGUCGUUUGACGGUACCCGGAUGAAUAAGCUCCGGCUAACUCCGUGCCAGCAGCCGCGGUAACACGGGGGGAGCAAGCGUUGUUCGGAAUCACUGGGCGUAAAGGGCGUGUAGGCGGUUCGGUAAGUGGAAUGUGAAAUGCUCCGGCUCACCCGGAGUACUGCAUCCCAAACUGCCGAGCUUGAGUAUGGGAGAGGAUGAGGGAAUUCCUGGUGUAGCGGUGAAAUGCGUAGAUAUCAGGAGGAACACCCAUGGCAAGGCAGCACUCUGGGCUGGUAUUGACGCUGAGGAGCGAAAGCAUGGGUAGCGAACAGGAUUAGAUACCCAAGUAGUCCCUGAGCGGGCUGGCAAGGCGCAU